AAAGGUAAGCUACUAAGAGCGAAUGGUGGAUGCCUUGACUGGUAAAGGCGAUGAAGGACGUACUAGACUGCGAUAAGCUACGGGGAGCUGUCAAGAAGCUUUGAUCCGUAGAUUUCCGAAUGGGGCAACCCAAUGUAUAGAGAUAUACAUUACCUAUAUAGGAGCGAACGAGGGGAAUUGAAACAUCUUAGUACCCUCAGGAAAAGAAAUCAAUAGAGAUUGCGUCAGUAGCGGCGAGCGAAAGCGCAAGAGGGCAAACCCAGUGCUUGCACUGGGGGUUGUAGGACUGCAAUGUGCAAGAGGUGAGUUUAGCAGAACAUUCUGGAAAGUAUAGCCAUAGAGGGUGAUAGUCCCGUAUGCGAAAAACAAACCUUAGCUAGCAGUAUCCUGAGUAGGGCGGGACACGAGAAAUCCUGUCUGAAGCUGGGUCGACCACGAUCCAACCCUAAAUACUAAUACCAGAUCGAUAGUGCACAAGUACCGUGAGGGAAAGGUGAAAAGAACUGAGGUGAUCAGAGUGAAAUAGAACCUGAAACCAUUUGCUUACAAUCAUUCAGAGCCCUAUGUAGCAAUACAGGGUGAUGGACUGCCUUUUGCAUAAUGAGCCUGCGAGUUGUGGUGUCUGGCAAGGUUAAGCAAACGCGAAGCCGUAGCGAAAGCGAGUCUGAAUAGGGCGCUUAGUCAGAUGCUGCAGACCCGAAACGAAGUGAUCUAUCCAUGAGCAAGUUGAAGCUAGUGUAAGAACUAGUGGAGGACUGAACCCAUAGGCGUUGAAAAGCCCCGGGAUGACUUGUGGAUAGGGGUGAAAGGCCAAUCAAACUUCGUGAUAGCUGGUUCUCUCCGAAAUAUAUUUAGGUAUAGCGUUGUGUCGUAAUAUAAGGGGGUAGAGCACUGAAUGG
rnacentral:rRNA from 1 species